rnacentral:rRNA from 1 species
CAGUAGCCACGGUAAUACGUAGGGUGCGAGCGUUAAUCGGAAUUACUGGGUGUAAAGCGUGCGCAGGCGGUUGUGUAAGACAGGUGUGAAAUCCCCGGGCUUAACCUGGGAACUGCGCUUGUGACUGCACAGCUAGAGUAUGGCAGAGGGGGGUGGAAUUCCACGUGUAGCAGUGAAACGCGUAGAGAUGUGGAGGAACACCGAUGGCGAAGGCAGCCCCCUGGGCCAAUACUGACGCUCAUGCACGAAAGCGUGGGGAGCAAACAGGAUUAGAUACCCGCGUAGUCCCUGUCUCUUAUCC